CUGUCAAAGAGAGGAGGGCACAGAGUUACACCAGCCCCUCUGACACAGGCUCAGUUAUGGUUGCAAGUAACUGACUUCGUUCACCUACUUUGUACAGGGUCAUCACCCUAAUCUCAGCCACUGUCAUUCCUUGCCUUGCUGUGAUCUCCCAGCUUGGACACCUGCCAUUCUCAAAACCAUUCACCACUCAGCAGAUUGUGACGUUUCUCUCCUUAAUGGCUUCCUACAGGACUUAGAAUGGGAUCCAAACUCUUGCCAGUGGUCUUACAAGAUGCUUUGGCCUUCUCUCUCACUCUGCUCCGAAGCGUGAUAUUCUUGCCACAUUGGUCAUUUCUCCAAAAUGCUGAGCACUUUUUGCCUUAGGACCUUUGACUAACUGUUCACUCCAUCUCAAACGCUCUGCCCCUGCUGUUCGCAUGGCUGGCUCCUCUUGUCCUUCAGAUAUGGCAUAAAUAUCACCUCCUCAGAGAGGCCAUCCCAGGCCAUCUAAUAUAAAGGAGCCUCAGUGUCAACUCUCUAUGGCAUCAGCCUUUUAGCUUCCUCCUAGCACUGAUUACUAUCCAAAAUUCCCUAGAGCAGUGCUUUCCAAAAAUAAACUUUCUGUGAUGAUGCAAAUAUUCUAAAUCGAUGUUGUUCAAUAUGGUAACCACUGGCCACAUGUGGCUAUUGAACACCUAAAAUGUGACUAGUGUGGCAGGAAACAGACAUUUUAAUUUAAUUUAAUUUAAUUUAAUUUAAUUUAAAUUUAAAUAGCCAGCUGUGGCUGGUGGCUACCAUACUAGAGAAUGCUGGCCUAGUAUAUUUAUCAUCUGUAUCCUCCUCUAGAUGUAAGCUCUCAAAAUCCAGAAACCUUGUCAACUGUAUCCCUGAGCCUAGAAGAAUGUCUACACAUGUAGGUGUUCAGUCUGUAUUCAUUGUUAAUGAAAUAUAUGGAGCAAUUUCUGUGUCCUUAUCACUAUUCAAUAGCUGCAAGCACCUGAACACCUGGAGAAGACUAGAGCCUGCUCAGCCCCAGGGCCAGCUGACCUUUAGGAUUAUAGUUCGUUUUGGCUCUAGGUAUAAGCUUAUAGUCAGGAAAAGUGAGGACUCCUCCACCCUUAAAGGAUCUGAGUCUCCAGUGAUUUAUCCAUCUCAAGUCAGAGUCAAACCCAUUGGACAGUUGAUUCACUUUUUAAAAUAACUCCACCAAAAUGUGUUAUGCACAUUCAUCUUCCCAGAGAGUUCACUGUCAAAUCCACAGAACAAUUUCCCUUGCUUCUUCAACUCUUUCAAUGCCUAUGCAGACAGAGGGGGUAGA
rnacentral:lncRNA from 1 species